GCCUUUGUAGUGUAGUGGUUAACAUGAUCGGCACGUAUUCGAGAGGUCCGUGGUUCGAGUCCCGGCGAGGGUA
rnacentral:tRNA from 1 species